rnacentral:misc_RNA from 1 species
GAAUCAUCAUUGCUGGUUCACGUGGUGGACAUCAGCCAUCCACUGGCUGAGCAACAGAUAGAGGCUGUGGAUAAAGUUCUUUCAGAAUUGGAUGUGUCAUCAAUUCCGAAGUUGAUGGUUUGGAACAAGGUUGACAAGGUUAGUGAUCCUCAACAUAUUAGACUGGAAGCAGAUAAAAGAGGAGACGUUGUUUGUGUAUCUGCG